rnacentral:rRNA from 1 species
UACGAAGGGUGCGAGCGUUAAUCGGAAUUACUGGGCGUAAAGCGUGCGUAGGCGGUUCGUUAAGUUCGUUGUGAAAGCCCCGGGCUCAACCUGGGAAUGGCAAUGGAAACUGGCGGGCUGGAGUAUGGCAGAGGGGGGUGGAAUUCCGCGUGUAGCAGUGAAAUGCGUAGAGAUGCGGAGGAACACCGAUGGCGAAGGCAGCCCCCUGGGCCAAUACUGACGCUCAGGCACGAAAGCGUGGGGAGCAAACAGG